AGUGAACGCUGGCGGCAUGCCUAACACAUGCAAGUCGAACGGCCGGACAGUAAGAGUUCGCCUCUAAGGUUGGCGGGUGGCGGGUGGGUGAGGCAUAGAUAGCAUUCCUAUAAUACGUGGGGGACUUCGUAGGGCCACAUAUGCUAACAGAGAACACGACCAACCGCAGAAAGCAGCGGAGCAUCACACUCUGCCUGUCACUUAGAGCCGAUGUCGGAUCAGCUUGUUGGAGGGGUAAAGGCACACCAAGGCAACGAUCCGUAGCGGGUCUGAGAGGAUGAUCAGCCACACUGGAACUGAGACACGGUCCAGACUCCUACGGGAGGCAGCAGUGGGGAAUAUUCGGCAAUGGGCGAAAGCCUGAUGCAGCCAUGCCGCGUGGGUGAAGAAGGUCUUCGGAUUGUAAAACCCUUUUGUUAGGAAAGAAAAGCUGCGUGUUAAUAUCCCGCUGUUCUGACGGUACCCAAAGAGAAAGCACCGGCUAACUUCGUG
rnacentral:rRNA from 1 species